CCUACGGGAGGCAGCAGUGGGGAAUAUUGCACAAUGGGGGGAACCCUGAUGCAGCGCCGCCGCGUGGGUGAAGGAGUCCUUCGGUUCGUACAGCCCUAUCAGCAGGGAAGAAAAUGACGGUACCUGACUAAGUAGCCCCGGCUAACUACGUGCCAGCAGCCGCGGUAAUACGUAGGGGGCAAGCGUGAUCCGGAUUUACUGGGGGUAAAGGGAGCGUAGACGGCAGUGCAAGUCAGGAGUGAAAGGCCGGGGCUCAACCCGGGGACUGCACUGGAAACUGUAAAGCUGGAGUGCAGGAGGGGCAGGCGGAAUUCCUGGUGUAGCGGUGAAAUGCGUAGAUAUCAGGAGGAACACCGGCUGCGAAGGCGGCCUGCUGGACCGUAACUGACGUUGAGGCUCGAAAGCGUGGGGAGCAAACAGGAUUAGAUACCCUGGUAGUC
rnacentral:rRNA from 1 species